rnacentral:rRNA from 1 species
AUUGAACGCUGGCGGCAGGCCUAACACAUGCAAGUCGAACGAGUGGCGUACGGGUGAGUAAUUUCGGGGACACUGUCUGGUGGAGGGGGAUAACUACUGGACACGGUAUCUAAUACCGCAUCCCAUCGGAUGUGCCCAGAUGGUAUUAGCUAGUAGGUGGGGUAACGGCUCACCUAGGCGACGAUCCCUAGCUGGUCUGAGAGGAUGACCAGCCACACUGGAACUGAGACACGGUCCAGACUCCUACGGGAGGCAGCAGUGGGGAAUAUUGCACAAUGGGCGCAAGCCUGAUGCAGCCAUGCCGCGUGUAUGAAGAAGGCCUUCGGGUUGUAAAGUACUUUCAGCGGGGAGGCGUUACCCGCAGAAGAAGCACCGGCUAACUCCGUGCCAGCAGCCGCGGUAAUUC